GAGCGAUUUCUUAGUGAGACGCUGAGAGUGAGGGAUAAGCGAAGGUUGAGGACGAUGAGAGUUGAGAGGAGAAAGAUUCUUUGGAGUUUGAUAGGAUCCGUGAGAUUGUGAGAGACGGAGACGGAAGUGUCUUCUGUUUUGGUUUUCUUUUUUUUUCUUUUCUUUAAUCUUUUUUUAUAUACAGAAUAAGUUUUGAAAAAAAAAACAUUAAAGAUUUUGUUUAAACUUCCUAAGUAGUUAAUAAGUAUUUACAC
rnacentral:lncRNA from 1 species